rnacentral:rRNA from 1 species
UGGGGAAUAUUGGGCAAUGGGCGAAAGCCUGACCCAGCGACGCCGCGUGAGGGAAGAAGAUCUUCGGAUUGUAAACCUCUGUCAACAGGGACGAAACAAAUGACGGUACCUGUGGAGGAAGCCACGGCUAACUACGUGCCAGCAGCCGCGGUAAUACGUAGGUGGCGAGCGUUAUCCGGAUUUACUGGGUGUAAAGGGUGUGUAGGCGGGGAUGCAAGUCAGGUGUGAAAACUAUGGGCUCAACCCAUAAAGUGCACUUGAAACUGUAUCUCUUGAGUGUCGGAGGGGCAAAUGGAAUUCCCAGUGUAGCGGUGAAAUGCGUAGAUAUUGGGAGGAACACCAGUGGCGAAGGCGAUUUGCUGGACGACAACUGACGCUGAUACACGAAAGCGUGGGGAGCAAACAGG